rnacentral:rRNA from 1 species
UACGGAGGAUGCGAGCGUUAUCCGGAUUUAUUGGGUUUAAAGGGUGCGUAGGCGGGCUUUUAAGUCAGCGGUAUAAAUUCGGGGCUCAACCCCGUCCGGCCGUUGAAACUGGGGGUCUUGAGUGGGCGAGAAGAAGGCGGAAUGCGUGGUGUAGCGGUGAAAUGCAUAGAUAUCACGCAGAACCCCGAUUGCGAAGGCAGCCUUCCGGCGCCCUACUGACGCUGAGGCACGAAAGUGCGGGGAUCGAACAGG